GUCAUCCUCCAGGCCUUGUGCCCAUUCUCUGAGGCAGCAGAACACGUCAUUCUGAGUCCUCUUCUUUCCUCUCCUUGUCUGGCUCAGGCAUUCUGCGGAUGUGGAGGGGGACACCCUGAAGGCCACAAUACCAGCAGCUGAAGAUACAGCAUGCAAAGGGACUGAUGGAGCACAGCGCCAGUCACAGCACCAACCAUGCAUCAACAACACUUGAAGAAGAAAGGAAGCAGCAUUGAACUAGGGAGAGAUCCCGACUGAAGGAUUAAGCCAGUAAGACUGUUG